rnacentral:lncRNA from 1 species
AAUAGAUGCAGCGUAGCUCACAUCACUGACUGAACUGAUGCCCUGUAGCCUGAGAGCCUCGUGUCAGAGAGACUCUGUGUUUUCUUCGUAACAGACGGAGGACACAACAAUGUUAGGUAAGUUCAAAACAUUUUCUGAAAUUAUAUUUAUGUUGUCAAACAUUUACCUAAUGUCCUUAAACUGUACAGAUAUUUGUAAACCCUGUAAAAAUAAAGAAAACAGUAAAAGCUAAAUUACGUCUUCAGCGCGUCACAAAUAUGGCAUAAAUACAGGUGAGUUAUUAAAUAAAUAGGUGGAGUACUGUAAUGUGUAUGCAUUCAUGGUAUUAGUAUUUACAUAUACUGUAAUGUGUCAUUGAGUUUAUCUACACCCUGACUUGUUGAAAGGCCUUUAACCAAGUAUUUGUUUUAGUGACAUAAAUGCUACUGUAGCUGUUUCACAUGUUGACAUUUUCUGGUUUGUUAAGUUGACAUUUGAUCUACUGACACAAGUCCUAUAAGAAAAUGUAUAUAUCAGAUGUUGACCACAUCUACAGUAGCUGAACCUGUUUCACGCUAUUUCAUGAAAUACUCAGCUUACCUUAAAGACCAGAAGCGCAUCUUAAAGUAAGUUUAUUACCACCAGUGUAACAGCGUUGGUGUUUGAAAUGUUUGAUCUUUCCAGUGGGAAUUUAGUGGGAAUUUCCAAAAACUCGUGGUUCGAUCUGAUAAAGAUUUAAGACAGAAAUGUCACCGUUUUUUUAUUAUUUUACUAACUUGUCCUUUGUGUUUUGUCUUUUAGAUUGUAAUCUAAUAGUUCCGGUCGUGGUCCUGUCUCUGGCAUUGCUCCUCUCUCUUUGUCUCAAUGUCGUAUUCUACGUUAAACGUAGAGCUUUCUGCAGAGAUAAAGAUAACUGCUGCUCAUCGCACAACUUUGAAGAAGAAAGCCUUACUCAGGCAGAUGAGCAUUACUUUCAUGACCUCGUGAAUCAUCAUGAGCAGCAGGAAAAUCCCCACGAUUAUCACGAACAGCUGGAAAAUCCAAUCUACGGUAACAUCAGCGUAGACAGAAGAGAGCCUUGUUACGAGACGAUGACGAAGCAGAAAACAAGAGAUGGUCUGACGGUAACGGCUGCGAUUCCAUCCUUUUAUUAUUAUCUGGAUGUUUGAUGAUGUACAUUAAGUGUUUAAACGUCCUCACGUCUUUUUUAUGUGACUUUGUCACGGCCAGUAUAGUUUUAGUUGUUUAGCACACUUCAUUAGCAGGUUUAGGGCCUAACAGCGUUGGGGAAUAGAGAAACAAAUAUUUUUUUUCAACCAAAUAAUGGUAUAAUUUUUUUAUGGAUUGUGCUCAACUUAAACAUAUUUGCUUUAGUUUCAUUGUUCAAUCACACGAAGAGGAUCUUUCUUGUAUCCACGGUAGCUCCACCCGUGCUCAUGACUUUGUUUUCGAAACGGAAGGUAGCUAACACCAUAGACGCACUGUGGUUGAAGCAGCCCCGAACCAUUGAACACAAUUAAGCACAAACUGUUCUAUAAAUAAACCAGAUGUACAGA